GCGAUGGAUUAUUAAGGGUUCUGGGGUUAACCCUGAAGUUGGCAGCAACAAUUUUAACGGGUGUGGACAAGGAGACCAAGACUAUUCCUAUAACUAUCACAUAAACCUUACCCGCUUUGCACGUCCCCGUCACUGCUAAGUGGCACUACAUGUCUGCCUUUGUCAGCAUCUCUGGUAGCAUGGAUGGCAGUUCGGGCAUCCAAUGACAAGACGGGUAUAGUUCUGGUGGUUCUGGACAUGACCAUAAUGGGGUU